GACACGUUUGUUCUCUGAUGUGAGAUAGCCAUUGUAACAGUCAGUUUUAUAAAGUUGUGUUUUUAUUAGAGUCAUUGCGCGCUGCUAGUUUCAUAAAAUAAAUUUUUUUUAAUUUUUGAAUGUGGUAGAGUAGUUUUGGACAGAACAGAUUUAUUAGAAUUUGUAGAAAAUGAAUAAUAAUAAUAAACGGUUCAAUUCAUAUGUCAGCGUUGAUGCGGGAGAAGAAAUAGUUAUCUCUGGUAUCGCUGGACGAUUUCCUAAGUCUGAUAAUAUGAAAGAAUUUCGGGACAAUCUUUUCAAUAAAAUGGAUCUUGGCUCGGAGGAUCAUCAACGCUGGACCAACUGCAAUAUUUUUUCUCAAAUUUCUUUUCUCUAUCUUGGGAAAAAGUCU